CGAGUUCUAUCGGGUAAAGCC
rnacentral:siRNA from 1 species